GGUAAUACCGAAUACGUUGGCAAAACCAUGGUUUUGCCAGGAAAGGGGCUACGGCCCCGCCUUGAGAUGGGCCCGCGUCCCAUUAGCUAGUUGGUAGAGUAAAGGUUUACCAAGGCGAAGAUGGGUAGCCGGCCUGAGAGGGUGAACGGCCACACUGGGACUGAGAUACGGCCCAGACUCCUACGGGAGGCAGCAGCUAAGAAUAUUCCGCAAUGGACGAAAGUCUGACGGAGCGACGCCGCGUGGAUGAGGAAGGCCGAAAGGUUGUAAAAUCCUUUUGCCGAUGAAGAAUAAGCACAUUAGGGAAUGAUUGUGUGAUGACGUUAGUCGGCGAAUAAGCCCCGGCUAAUUACGUGCCAGCAGCCGCGGUAACACGUAAGGGGCGAGCGUUGUUCGGAAUUAUUGGGCGUAAAGGGCGCGUAGGCGGCCAUGUAAGUCUGAUGUGAAAACCCUGGGCUUAACCCAGGAACUGCAUUGGAAACUGCAAGGCUUGGGUCACAGAGGGGGAAUCGGAAUUCCUGGUGUAGGGGUGAAAUCUGUAGAUAU
rnacentral:rRNA from 1 species